CAGUCGCCGCGGUAAUACGUAGGUGGCAAGCGUUGUCCGGAAUUAUUGGGCGUAAAGGGCUCGCAGGCGGUUUCUUAAGUCUGAUGUGAAAGCCCCCGGCUCAACCGGGGAGGGUUAUUGGAAACUGGGAAACUUGAGUGCAGAAGAGGAGAGUGGAAUUCCACGUGUAGCGGUGAAAUGCGUAGAGAUGUGGAGGAACACCAGUGGCGAAGGCGACUCUCUGGUCUGUAACUGACGCUGAGGAGCGAAAGCGUGGGGAGCGAACAGGAUUAGAUACCCCGGUAGUCCCUGUCUCUUAUAC
rnacentral:rRNA from 1 species